rnacentral:rRNA from 1 species
UGGGUCCAACCUCCCACCCGUGUUUAUUUUACCUUGUUGCUUCGGCGGGCCCGCCUUAACUGGCCGCCGGGGGGCUUACGCCCCCGGGCCCGCGCCCGCCGAAGACACCCUCGAACUCUGUCUGAAGAUUGAAGUCUGAGUGAAAAUAUAAAUUAUUUAAAACUUUCAACAACGGAUCUCUUGGUUCCGGCAUCGAUGAAGAACGCAGCGAAAUGCGAUACGUAAUGUGAAUUGCAAAUUCAGUGAAUCAUCGAGUCUUUGAACGCACAUUGCGCCCCCUGGUAUUCCGGGGGGCAUGCCUGUCCGAGCGUCAUUGCUGCCCUCAAGCCCGGCUUGUGUGUUGGGCCCCGUCCCCCGAUCUCCGGGGGACGGGCCCGAAAGGCAGCGGCGGCACCGCGUCCGGUCCUCGAGCGUAUGGGGCUUUGUCACCCGCUCUGUAGGCCCGGCCGGCGCUUGCCGAUCAACCCAAAUUUUUAUCCAGGUUGACCUCGGAUCAGGUAGGGAUACCCGCUGAACUUAAGCAUAUCAAUAAGCGGAGGAA